UACAGCAGCCCGCUUAUGGCACAGACACCUGCAGGUGCAGACAGCAUCACAGGUGAUCACAGGUAAACAGGUGUAGACAGGUGAUCACAGGUAGAUGAACACAGGUGAUCACAGGUAGAUGAACACAGGCGAUCACAGGUAGAUGAACACAGGCGAUCACAGGUAGAUGAACACAGGUAAACACAGGUGAUCACAGGUAGAUGAACACAGGCGAUCACAGGUACAUGAACACAGGCGAUCACAGGUAGAUGAACACAGGCGAUCACAGGUAGAUGAACACAGGUAAACACAGGUGAUCACAGGUAGAUGAACACAGGCGAUCACAGGUAGAUGAACACAGGCGAUCACAGGUAGAUGAACACAGGCGAUCACAGGUAGAUGAUCACAGGCGAUCACAGGUAGAUGAACACAGGUGAUCACAGGUAGAUGAACACAGGUGAUCACAGGUAGAUGAACACAGGUAAACACAGGCGAUCACAGGUAGAUGAACACAGGUGAACACAGGUAGAUGAACACAGGUAGAUGAACACAGGCGAUCACAGGUAGAUGAACACAGGCGAUCACAGGUAGAUGAACACAGGCGAUCACAGGUAGAUGAACACAGGCGAUCACAGGUAGAUGAUCACAGGCGAUCACAGGUAGAUGAACACAGGUGAUCACAGGUAGAUGAACACAGGCGAUCACAGGUAGAUGAACACAGGCGAUCACAGGUAGAUGAACACAGGCGAUCACAGGUAGAUGAUCACAGGUGAUCACAGGUAGAUGAACACAGGCGAUCACAGGUAGAUGAACACAGGGGAUCACAGGUAGAUGAACACAGGUAGAUGAACACAGGCGAUCACAGGUAGAUGAACACAGGCGAUCACAGGUAGAUGAUCACAGGCGAUCACAGGUAGAUGAUCACAGGUGAUCACAGGUAGAUGAACACAGGUGAUCACAGGUAGAUGAACACAGGUGAUCACAGGUAGAUGAACACAGGUGAUCACAGGUAGAUGAUCACAGAUAAACACAGGUGAUCACAGGUGAUUACAGAUGAUCACAGGUCAAAAGGUGUAGACAGGUAGAUAAUCACAGGUAAACAGGUGAACAC